AGCGAACGCUGGCGGCAGGCUUAACACAUGCAAGUCGAGCGGGCACUUCGGUGUCAGCGGCAGACGGGUGAGUAACACGUGGGAACGUACCCUUUGGUUCGGAAUAACGCUGGGAAACUAGCGCUAAUACCGGAUACGCCCUUUUGGGGAAAGGCUUGCUGCCGAAGGAUCGGCCCGCGUCUGAUUAGCUAGUUGGUGGGGUAAUGACCUACCAAGGCGACGAUCAGUAGCUGGUCUGAGAGGAUGAUCAGCCACACUGGGACUGAGACACGGCCCAGACUCCUACGGGAGGCAGCAGUGGGGAAUAUUGGACAAUGGGCGCAAGCCUGAUCCAGCCAUGCCGCGUGAGUGAUGAAGGCCUUAGGGUUGUAAAGCUCUUUUGUCCGGGACGAUAAUGACGGUACCGGAAGAAUAAGCCCCGGCUAACUUCGUG
rnacentral:rRNA from 1 species